rnacentral:rRNA from 1 species
CGGGGCGACGUCCGCUCUCUAUCCAUACGACUCUCGGCAACGGAUAUCUCGGCUCUCGCAUCGAUGAAGAACGUAGCGAAAUGCGAUACUUGGUGUGAAUUGCAGAAUCCCGUGAACCAUCGAGUCUUUGAACGCAAGUUGCGCCCGAGGCCUUUCGGUUGA